rnacentral:rRNA from 1 species
AUGACGCUGGCGGCAGGCCUAACACAUGCAAGUCGAGCGGAUGACGGGAGCUUGCUCCUUGAUUCAGCGGCGGACGGGUGAGUAAUGCCUAGGAAUCUGCCUGGUAGUGGGGGACAACGUUUCGAAAGGAACGCUAAUACCGCAUACGUCCUACGGGAGAAAGCAGGGGACCUUCGGGCCUUGCGCUAUCAGAUGAGCCUAGGUCGGAUUAGCUAGUAGGUGAGGUAAUGGCUCACCUAGGCGACGAUCCGUAACUGGUCUGAGAGGAUGAUCAGUCACACUGGAACUGAGACACGGUCCAGACUCCUACGGGAGGCAGCAGUGGGGAAUAUUGGACAAUGGGCGAAAGCCUGAUCCAGCCAUGCCGCGUGUGUGAAGAAGGUCUUCGGAUUGUAAAGCACUUUAAGUUGGGAGGAAGGGCAGUAAGCUAAUACCUUGCUGUUUUGACGUUACCGACAGAAUAAGCACCGGCUAACUCUGUGCCAGCAGCCGCGGUAAUACAGAGGGUGCAAGCGUUAAUCGGAAUUACUGGGCGUAAAGCGCGCGUAGGUGGUUCGUUAAGUUGGAUGUGAAAGCCCCGGGCUCAACCUGGGAACUGCAUCCAAAACUGGCGAGCUAGAGUAUGGUAGAGGGUGGUGGAAUUUCCUGUGUAGCGGUGAAAUGCGUAGAUAUAGGAAGGAACACCAGUGGCGAAGGCGACCACCUGGACUGAUACUGACACUGAGGUGCGAAAGCGUGGGGGAGCAAACAGGAUUAGAUACCCUGGUAGUCCACGCCGUAAACGAUGUCAACUAGCCGUUGGAAUCCUUGAGAUUUUAGUGGCGCAGCUAACGCAUUAAGUUGACCGCCUGGGGAGUACGGCCGCAAGGUUAAAACUCAAUGAAUUGACGGGGGCCCGCACAAGCGGUGGAGCAUGUGGUUUAAUUCGAAGCAACGCGAAGACCUUACCAGGCCUUGACA